rnacentral:rRNA from 1 species
AGCGAACGCUGGCGGCAGGCCUAACACAUGCAAGUCGAACGAACCUUUCGGGGUUAGUGGCGGACGGGUGAGUAACACGUGGGAACGUGCCUUUAGGUUCGGAAUAACUCAGGGAAACUUGUGCUAAUACCGAAUGUGCCCUUCGGGGGAAAGAUUUAUCGCAUUUAGAGCGGCCAGUGUCUGAUUAGCUAGUUGGUUGAGGUAAUGGCUCACCAAGGCGACGACCAGUAGCUGGACUGAGAGGAAGAUCAGCGACAUUGGGACAGGGAAACGGCCCAAACUCCUACGCGAAGCAGGAGUGGCGAAUCCUGCGCGAUGGGCGAAAAGCUGACGAAGACAUGGCGAGUGAAUGAUGAAGGUGUUAGGAUUGUAAAAUUCUUUAAGCGGGGACGAUAAUGACGGUACCCGGAGAAGAAGCACCGGCUAACUGCGUG